GGGUUAGGUUCGGUUACUNAGGCGGUGCGCUAACCCGCAAGGGAGGCAGCCGACCACGGUAGGGUCAGCGACUGGGGUG
rnacentral:rRNA from 1 species